GAUGAAGAACGUAGCGAAAUGCGAUACGUAAUGUGAAUUGCAGAAUUCAGUGAAUCAUCGAGUCUUUGAACGCACAUUGCGCCCCCUGGUAUUCCGGGGGGCAUGCCUGUCCGAGCGUCAUUGCUGCCUCAAGCCCGGCUUGUGUGUUGGGUCUCGUCCCCCUUCCCGGGGGGACGGGCCCGAAAGGCAGCGGCGGCACCGCGUCCGGUCCUCGAGCGUAUGGGGCUUUGUCACCCGCUCUUGUAGGCCCGGCCGGCGCUUGCCGACACAUCAAUCUUUUUUCCAGGUUGACCUCGGAUCAGGUAGGGAUACCCGCUGAACUUAAGCAUAUCAAUAAGCGGAGGA
rnacentral:misc_RNA from 1 species